GAGUCGGACCUGCCCAGUGAAUAAUUUUCAACGGCCGCGGUACUCUGACCGUGCAAAGGUAGCAUAAUCAUUUGCCCUAUAAUUGAGGGCUAGUAUGAAUGGUUUGACGUGAACAAAACUGUCUCUGUAUAAUUUUUUAGAACUUGAUUUCUAGGUGAAGAAACCUAGAUAUUAUUGAUAGACAAGAAGACCCUAUUGAGCUUUAAAGAAACAAAUUGAGAAUAAUAUAUAAUUUUAGAUAUUAAUCUAUUUAAAAUUUUGGUUGGGGCGACUGUGGAACAAAUAAAGCUUCUUUAAUAUCAAAUAAACCCUCAGGUGUUGAUCCAGAAAUUCUGAUCAAUGGAAUUAGUUACCAUAGGGAUAACAGCAUAAUUUUCUUUGAGAGUUCUUAUCGAAAAGAAAGUUUGUGACCUCGAUGUUGGACUAGAAUAUCCUAAAGAUGCAGCAGUCUUUAAGGGUUGGUC
rnacentral:rRNA from 1 species